rnacentral:rRNA from 1 species
UUUGUGGAGGGUUCGAUUCUGGCUCAGGAUGAACGCUGGCGGCGUGCUUAACACAUGCAAGUCGAACGGGAUCCAUCGGGCUUUGCCUGGUGGUGAGAGUGGCGAACGGGUGAGUAAUGCGUGACCGACCUGCCCCAUGCACCGGAAUAGCUCCUGGAAACGGGUGGUAAUGCCGGAUGCUCCAUCACACCGCAUGGUGUGUUGGGAAAGCCUUUGCGGCAUGGGAUGGGGUCGCGUCCUAUCAGCUUGAUGGCGGGGUAACGGCCCACCAUGGCUUCGACGGGUAGCCGGCCUGAGAGGGCGACCGGCCACAUUGGGACUGAGAUACGGCCCAGACUCCUACGGGAGGCAGCAGUGGGGAAUAUUGCACAAUGGGCGCAAGCCUGAUGCAGCGACGCCGCGUGAGGGAUGGAGGCCUUCGGGUUGUAAACCUCUUUUGUUAGGGAGCAAGGCACUUUGUGUUGAGUGUACCUUUCGAAUAAGCACCGGCUAACUACGUGCCAGCAGCCGCGGUAAUACGUAGGGUGCAAGCGUUAUCCGGAAUUAUUGGGCGUAAAGGGCUCGUAGGCGGUUCGUCGCGUCCGGUGUGAAAGUCCAUCGCUUAACGGUGGAUCCGCGCCGGGUACGGGCGGGCUUGAGUGCGGUAGGGGAGACUGGAAUUCCCGGUGUAACGGUGGAAUGUGUAGAUAUCGGGAAGAACACCAAUGGCGAAGGCAGGUCUCUGGGCCGUUACUGACGCUGAGGAGCGAAAGCGUGGGGAGCGAACAGGAUUAGAUACCCUGGUAGUCCACGCCGUAAACGGUGGAUGCUGGAUGUGGGGCCCGUUCCACGGGUUCCGUGUCGGAGCUAACGCGUUAAGCAUCCCGCCUGGGGAGUACGGCCGCAAGGCUAAAACUCAAAGAAAUUGACGGGGGCCCGCACAAGCGGCGGAGCAUGCGGAUUAAUUCGAUGCAACGCGAAGAACCUUACCUGGGCUUGACAUGUUCCCGACGAUCCCAGAGAUGGGGUUUCCCUUCGGGGCGGGUUCACAGGUGGUGCAUGGUCGUCGUCAGCUCGUGUCGUGAGAUGUUGGGUUAAGUCCCGCAACGAGCGCAACCCUCGCCCCGUGUUGCCAGCGGAUUGUGCCGGGAACUCACGGGGGACCGCCGGGGUUAACUCGGAG